rnacentral:lncRNA from 1 species
CCUAUCAAAGCAAACGGCGGCCACCAAUCUCUUUCUGUCUUGUACGUUUCAUUUCUUUUAAUUGGUUUUUGCGAUACAACCCCCUCUCUCUCUCAUUCGCCUCUCUCUAUUUUACUAGGAUUUUUAUAUUCUGUUUAUUUUAGAUUAUGUAUUUUUAUGUUCUAACUCAGUUUUAGAUCUAUGUUAAUUUAUUAUUUUGGUUGCUGUAGUGUUGUUGUUGGCUAGGAAGAAUGAUGGUGCAAAGAACCAUAGAGCAAGAACAAAAGGUUAUGAUUUUUUUUAUUUUAUACUCACAAACGUCCACAUUAGUGCUAUAUCUAUCUUUGUUUUUCAUUCUUUUUUCCUUUACUUUUGUUUUUUUUGUUUUUUCUUUUAUAUGAGAAAAGAGACCGAGAACUAGCGCUACUAAGGUUGUCAACCUAGUUGAGAUGUCUUCUAAUCACUUCUGUGUCUUAAUACUCUUAAUUCUUCUAUGAAAAUAAUAUUAUUUUUAUCAAACAAAUUUCUAUUAAAUAAUUUUGCGUAAUUUAAUUACUAACUUUUUAAUAAAAUGUAAAUAAAAAGAGAUCGUUUUCUAUUUAAAUUGAGAGCAUAAUGACAUUAAAGAUAAUAAAAGAUAUGUCUAAGCUAAAAUGAUGGGG